AUGCUCCCUUUUCGAUCUCGGUUCCUCCUUCCUCGUGGGAACGCAGCGCUGCCGCCGCGGCCUGCAGCAGGAGCUCACAUCUCGCCGGUCUCCGCUCUCGCCGCCGGUCACCGCCCAUCACCUCCGGUCACCACCGCCCAUCGCCGCCGUCGGUCUCCCGUGUUUCUCGCCGGUUCCGUGCAUGCAGCAGCCGUAGUUGCAGCUCCUUGUGACACCGGUCACAGCUCUGGUGGAGGUGGGCACAACUCCGACGUGCUCCAGUUGCAGGUCACAGCAUCUCUGACGACGAGCUCGCAAAAAAAAUUGUACUCUCCCUCGGGUUGCCGGUAG
rnacentral:rRNA from 1 species